rnacentral:rRNA from 1 species
GGUUAAGCGACUAAGCGUACACGGUGGAUGCCCUGGCAGUCAGAGGCGAUGAAGGACGUGCUAAUCUGCGAAAAGCGUCGGUAAGGUGAUAUGAACCGUUAUAACCGGCGAUGUCCGAAUGGGGAAACCCAGUGCAAUUCGUUGCACUAUCGUUAACUGAAUACAUAGGUUAACGAGGCGAACCGGGGGAACUGAAACAUCUAAGUACCCCGAGGAAAAGAAAUCAACCGAGAUUCCCCCAGUAGCGGCGAGCGAACGGGGAGCAGCCCAGAGUCUGAAUCAGCUUGUGUGUUAGUGGAACGGUCUGGAAAGUCCGACGGUACAGGGUGAUAGUCCCGUACACCAAAAUGCACAGGCUGUGAACUCGAAGAGUAGGGCGGGACACGUGGUAUCCUGUCUGAAUAUGGGGGGACCAUCCUCCAAGGCUAAAUACUCCUGACUGACCGAUAGUGAACCAGUACCGUGAGGGAAAGGCGAAAAGAACCCCGGCGAGGGGAGUGAAAAAGAACCUGAAACCGUGUACGUACAAGCAGUGGGAGCACCUUCGGGUGUGACUGCGUACCUUUUGUAUAAUGGGUCAGCGACUUAUAUUCUGUAGCAAGGUUAACCGUAUAGGGGAGCCGCAGGGAAACCGAGUCUUAACUGGGCGUUAAGUUGCAGGGUAUAGACCCGAAACCCGGUGAUCUAGCCAUGGGCAGGUUGAAGGUUGGGUAACACUAACUGGAGGACCGAACCGACUAAUGUUGAAAAAUUAGCGGAUGACUUGUGGCUGGGGGUGAAAGGCCAAUCAAACCGGGAGAUAGCUGGUUCUCCCCGAAAGCUAUUUAGGUAGCGCCUCGUGAACUCAUCUUCGGGGGUAGAGCACUGUUUCGGCUAGGGGGUCAUCCCGACUUACCAACCCGAUGCAAACUACGAAUACCGAAGAAUGUUAUCACGGGAGACACACGGCGGGUGCUAACGUCCGUCGUGAAGAGGGAAACAACCCAGACCGCCAGCUAAGGUCCCAAAGUCAUGGUUAAGUGGGAAACGAUGUGGGAAGGCACAGACAGCCAGGAUGUUGGCUUAGAAGCAGCCAUCAUUUAAAGAAAGCGUAAUAGCUCACUGGUCGAGUCGGCCUGCGCGGAAGAUGUAACGGGGCUAAACCAUGCACCGAAGCUGCGGCAGCGACACUAUGUGUUGUUGGGUAGGGGAGCGUUCUGUAAGCCUGCGAAGGUGACCUGUGAGGGUUGCUGGAGGUAUCAGAAGUGCGAAUGCUGACAUAAGUAACGAUAAAGCGGGUGAAAAGCCCGCUCGCCGGAAGACCAAGGGUUCCUGUCCAACGUUAAUCGGGGCAGGGUGAGUCGACCCCUAAGGCGAGGCCGAAAGGCGUAGUCGAUGGGAAACAGGUUAAUAUUCCUGUACUUGGUGUUACUGCGAAGGGGGGACGGAGAAGGCUAUGUUAGCCGGGCGACGGUUGUCCCGGUUUAAGCAUGUAGGCUGAUUGUCCAGGCAAAUCCGGAUAAUCAAGGCUGAGGUGUGAUGACGAGGUACUACGGUGCUGAAGUAACAAAUGCCCUGCUUCCAGGAAAAGCCUCUAAGCAUCAGGUAACAUCAAAUCGUACCCCAAACCGACACAGGUGGUCAGGUAGAGAAUACCAAGGCGCUUGAGAGAACUCGGGUGAAGGAACUAGGCAAAAUGGUGCCGUAACUUCGGGAGAAGGCACGCUGGUGUGUAGGUGAAGCCCCUGCGGGUGGAGCUGAGACCAGUCGAAGAUACCAGCUGGCUGCAACUGUUUAUUAAAAACACAGCACUGUGCAAACACGAAAGUGGACGUAUACGGUGUGACGCCUGCCCGGUGCCGGAAGGUUAAUUGAUGGGGUUAUCCGUAAGGAGAAGCUCUUGAUCGAAGCCCCGGUAAACGGCGGCCGUAACUAUAACGGUCCUAAGGUAGCGAAAUUCCUUGUCGGGUAAGUUCCGACCUGCACGAAUGGCGUAAUGAUGGCCAGGCUGUCUCCACCCGAGACUCAGUGAAAUUGAACUCGCUGUGAAGAUGCAGUGUACCCGCGGCAAGACGGAAAGACCCCGUGAACCUUUACUAUAGCUUGACACUGAACAUUGAGCCUUGAUGUGUAGGAUAGGUGGGAGGCUUUGAAGCGUGGACGCCAGUCUGCGUGGAGCCAACCUUGAAAUACCACCCUUUAAUGUUUGAUGUUCUAACGUUGGCCCCUGACCGGGGUUGCGGACAGUGUCUGGUGGGUAGUUUGACUGGGGCGGUCUCCUCCCAAAGCGUAACGGAGGAGCACGAAGGUUAGCUAAUCCUGGUCGGACAUCAGGAGGUUAGUGCAAUGGCAUAAGCUAGCUUGACUGCGAGCGUGACGGCGCGAGCAGGUGCGAAAGCAGGUCAUAGUGAUCCGGUGGUUCUGAAUGGAAGGGCCAUCGCUCAACGGAUAAAAGGUACUCCGGGGAUAACAGGCUGAUACCGCCCAAGAGUUCAUAUCGACGGCGGUGUUUGGCACCUCGAUGUCGGCUCAUCACAUCCUGGGGCUGAAGUAGGUCCCAAGGGUAUGGCUGUUCGCCAUUUAAAGUGGUACGCGAGCUGGGUUUAGAACGUCGUGAGACAGUUCGGUCCCUAUCUGCCGUGGGCGCUGGAGAAUUGAGGGGGGCUGCUCCUAGUACGAGAGGACCGGAGUGGACGCAUCACUGGUGUUCGGGUUGUCAUGCCAAUGGCACUGCCCGGUAGCUAAAUGCGGAAGAGAUAAGUGCUGAAAGCAUCUAAGCACGAAACUUGCCCCGAGAUGAGUUCUCCCUGAGACUUUAAGUCUCCUGAAGGAACGUUAAAGACGAUGACGUUGAUAGGCCGGGUGUGUAAGCGCAGCGAUGCGUUGAGCUAACCGGUACUAAUGAACCGUGAGGCUUAACCUU